GGCCAAUUGUGCGCCGCCCUACGGGACUCCUGAUCACGGCCGGUUGUGACACAGCCUGUGGGAGGAGCUAAGAUGAGAGGUGGAGAGAUGAUUCUCCUCUAUCUGACUGGAACAGUGGGAUGUCUUCAGUUCUGCCUCCUGAUAACACACUGUUACACCCAUCACCAUGUUUCUCUACCCAGUGUUUCUCCUCUCUGCACUUGUUGGUGGCAGUUAUGAAAAUAACUUAAAACCAACUUCAGAGACAGAACAUGGCAUGGAGGUAAGCAGUGUUACAUUGUCUUGCAACUACUCUGGAUCAGUAGACUCUUCAAGGGUAUCGUCAAUAUCCCAGAUCAGCACCGCAAUUCAUCCUUUAAACUACAGUCUCAGCAAAGCCCUCUGUAUUUAGAGCUGAACCUGAUGACCCUCGACUGUCUGUUCAUCUGAAUAAAGAGAGAACCAGCGUGGAUCUGGAGAUCUCCUCUGCUGAAGUGACAGACUCUGCUCUGUACUACUGUGCUCUGAGGCCCACAGUGACAGGAAACCUCUCUA